GUACAAAAACAAAUUAAAAGAGGGCAUAAAAAUCCAAACAUUAUGUAACAUGUAACAUUAUAUCAUAAAAAUUAUCCAAACAUUAUAUCAUAAAAAUCCAAACAAUUGAACCUAAGACAAGUAACAUUAACAUAUAACAAAUUUUACUUAGGCAUUCAUAUAAAUUCAAACUUAGAAUCAUUCAACUUGGGCAUUUCAUAAAAAAAAAA
rnacentral:lncRNA from 1 species